GGUGCACCUCGGGUGGGAGUUGGGUCCUCGAAGGAGGCGGGAAGCGAGCUAAUCCCGCGAACUCAGAUGAGUUUCCUAAUCGUUGAAAGUCCUUCAACGGGCCGUAUCCCCCAGCCCCGUGAACUCCAGGGCUCCGCUCACCCGAGCUUUUUUGGGAUGGGUUGCGGACAUUUCAGGGUUUCCCGUGUUCCCCUGGAAGAGUGCACGUAAGGACCGCACACAGUCCCCAAGUUCAGUGGGGUGCCCCCUGUCCCCUGGCAGAGUGCAGGUAAUGGACCUUGAGUAGCACCCCGAGUUCAGCAGGGUGUCCCCUCUUCCCCCAGGCACAGGUGUGGCCGUAACAAGCCCCAGAGCCGUCCUCCAACUUAGCAUUGUGCCCCAUGUUCCCUGGGUAUGGUGGUAAUGGGCUGUCAGGAUUGUGCGGGAGGGUCCUCCAGGUGGGGGGGGGCCUGGAGGCUGGAGUAAACUAGACCCUACUCAAGUUGCAUGAGGAACAGAUGAGUUGAGGUGUUGAUUUGGAAGAGUCAUUUCGCGUUUCCAAAAAUGUCAAAGUCAUUGGUCUACUUUAGAAUGAAGAUAAUUAGUACUUAAAAAACAAGUAUGUGUUUCCCCUUCUCCCAGAAACCGAAGCAGGUGUGCUUGCCAUAGGUCGGAGGUCCUACUUAUCCCCACCUGACAGCACUUCUCCCCUCUGACUCCAUGAGACCCGAAGUUUUGAACAUCAGCAUGUGAGUCAGUGAUGCUGCUCGUCACAGGACGUCAGCAUUCAGAGAGAGCAGCAGGUCCAUUUGGCACAAUGUCAUCUUCAAGUCAGGACUGGAGGUAAAACUUCUGAUUAACCCCAAACCUCCUGGGCUUUCCUCUUUUUUCUAGUUGAGCUACGAAGUAAAACUUAAGUAGCUCUCAGCAUUCUCCAUUUGGUUCAAGAGUUACUUUCCCUGCGGGUAGAACAUUGCAGGGGAUCCGAUUUUCUCUGUUCAUUUAUUGCUUACAAAAUAUAUUCUGAUCAUCUGUUUCCUAGAAGUAACUUUUAUUAGAAAGAGAAGGUGAAAUUUACUCUUUGUGUGUUUUUAAGAUAUCUUUUGUUCCUCAAUCUAAUAGCGUUUAUUCAGUUGGGCCUAGGAUAUGGUUGAGCGGCCAGCAUCUAGAGUUAGGUGGCUUUUUGUCGUCAGAUACAGAUUCGGAUGAUGUCUUGUCAUUUGUCAAAGGUGAUGUCUCAUAAUUGAUUAGUGUUUUCAUCAGAAGAGUUACAGUUAGGGUCAAGGGAAAAAUCAAAAUUAUUCAAAGCAGGCUUUUACUGUUUAAAAGUUGAGCCUGAGUUUCUAGUUUUUCUAAAUGUAUCAUCUAGAUAUUUUGACAUGCUGUAUUUUCUCUGUAGUUUCUUUGGUGGUGGAGUCAGAAGGAGAGUGUUUGGGAAUUCUGGAUGGAGGCAUGCUGGUGUCAGGAGCACUGGGUUGAGUUCUGGAACUGCUUGCCUGAGCCUAGGUGUGUCAGGUUAUCCCACAGAGCUUCCGUUGACUCCUUAUGAAAUUUGUGGAAGGAGCAGGAUCUGUGGACUCCAGGGGUGAUGUGAGAAACCUCAGAAGCUUCCCUUGUCCGUGUUUCCCUCGUCUGUCCCGGUGCUCCAUUCCUUCCUAAGGCCUUGUCACCCGGACCAGAGCAGUGAAUCUGGAACCUCUUCCAAAUGGAGACCCGGAGGCUGCAACAAGGAGGGUCUUGGCCUUGGUCCCCAGACUAGUGGUCAGUGCUCUGCCAUGUUCUGCGUACCCAGGUCCUCAGCCCCCCAAGUCCCCAGUUUGUCCCCUGCUCAGAAGGACCUCGAGGGAGUACAAAGCAUUUUCCCAGGACUGGGAGCACAGUGGGUCGGGGAUGGAGAUCCAAGGCCAAUAGGCUCUUCCACAAGCCUGUGGGACCCUAGGGACACUGCAUCUCUAAGCCCAAGUGACAGAAGAGUAAGCUGAGGCCUUUGUGCUGUAGCCCCUCUGGACUUGGGGGUGGGUAUCUCUUCCUGCUUCCAAGUGCCCAGGCUGGUGAUGGACACCGGAACCCAGACCCUGUCCUCUCCCAGUGCCCUGGCAACCCUUCGGGGUCCCUUGGGGACCCCUGACCCUCAGCCUGGCCUGUCUCCCCUCCCCAUGCUAUGGAUCUGGGUCCUUGCCAGGAGUCCUGAUGCCCUGCCCCAUGGCCCAGCUGUCUGCAACCUGUUUCUUCUUUCCCCCCUGUCACCCACCUCGCUCCCAGGGUGUCCUCCCCUUCUGACCCCCAGCUGGGCAGUCAGAGUGGUGUGUGUGUGGGUGUGGGUGUGUGUGGGGGGGUGUGUGUGCAGCUGCACGUGCCUCUACGUGCCUGGGGAUGCCAAGGUCAUGUCCCCACAUGAAACGGGGUGGGUAGCUCUUCCCGAGGAUCUGAGUGGCUCUCACCCCCAAAGCAAACCUCAUGGGAGGGUUGGGACUGGCCUAGGACUGGAGAGCAGCUCCUUGGACUCUGCACCCCUCAGUUGUCCUGGGCCAGUCCCUGCCUCUCUUGACCCAGGUUCCCAACUGUCCCUGAGGGUCGGACAUGGAAAGGCUUGAACGUGGCUGCUCCUCCAGGGGUAGGUGGGGGACAGGUGCACCAGGCACGCAGGCCUCCCCACCGAGAGGGCCAGCCAGGUGUGUCAUGGCCAGGUGUGCACAGACGACCUGCCCACAGCUCCUGUACCAUGACCCAGCCCUGCGGCAGAUGUGCACGAGACCCAUGGCUCCGCACCUGACCGGUCCCCCGCAUUCCCUCACCACCUCGGAGACAAGGGCUCUUCUUCGUCCUAGGGCCCGUCAUCCUUUGGACAAUGAGAGCAGAGGGAUCCGUAUCUAGAGGAGGCCGGCAGGGCGUCCCACGGAGUGUCGUGUGCCCAUCUCUGCUUUGUCGUCUAGGCUUAGCGGCGGACCCCCACCUAGAAAGAGGCCCACGGGGCAGGGACAUUUGUCUGCCUUGUUCCCUGAAUUAUGGAAAAUGUCUAGAAGGGGCUUCCUGUCCAUGUGUGGAGUCGAUGAAGCCCAGCCAGCACCUUUCAGAUGUCUGAGUGGCUCUGGGGCCCCUCUGCCAGCCCCCAGGGAUCCCUGCUCUGGCUCCACCCAGGAUGGGAGCCCCAGAUGGAAUCUGAAACCUCCUCACAGCCAGGAAUGCGGCUUUGCCCAGGACACAGGACACCGAGGCUUGGGGCAGAGAGCUCCUUCACGGUGGAGAGGAACCGCCUCAGCCCCAGGCCACCCUCCCCGUGGGCCGGCCACAGGGUCGGGGAGCGGUCCCAACAGGCCCGACGGCAACCCCGUGUGUGGGGCCUGGCCUCGUGGCACGCAGGGUCCCCAGGAGACACCUGAGGUUCGGAGAGGGGACGUGUCAGGCCCGAGACACACAGCCCGCAGGCUGAUGGGGUUGAGGCAGCAGCGCCCACCUGCUGCAUGGAGAGCAGCAGCGAGGAGCCGUGGUUGCAGACCCCGAGACACGGCGCUCGUGUGAGUCCGAGGCUGCCACAGAUGUGAUGGAGGCUGAGGAGGGGGAGGUGCUGACAGAGGCUGAGAUGAUGCCUGAGGUCUGCAGCGACGACUGGGAGGUCAACUCCGGAACUUGAGGAACGGCAAGGCCAGCAGAAACACCAGACUGUAUUUACCAAAAUUGACAAAGAGACAAAAAUGGAACCACUUUAUACCAACCAAUUGGCUCCCUGAGAUGAAGCAGAUCAUUCUGAGAAGCACACAAACUACCAAAGUGACUCCAGAAGAAAUGGAAACCCUGAGCAGACCUCUAAUAAGUAAAUAGACUGAAGCAGUCAUGAGAACUUCCCAAGAAUGAAAAGUCCAGAACCUGAUGCUUUCCCUGGUGAUUUGGCCCACACGUUUAAAGAAGACAUAAUACCAAUCCUUCUGAAAGUCUGAAAAAAGUACAAGAGGAGGGAACACUUCCCACAUCACCCUAGAAUGCCAGCAUUGUCCCGAUUCCAAAGACUGACAAAGACCUUACAAGAAAAGACAGUUGCAGGCCAAAAUCCAUUAUGAAGAGCGAGGCAAAAAUCCUCAACAGAAUUCUAGCGACAGAAUCUAGCAGCACAUUGACAGGACUCUACAUCAUGACCAAGUGUGAUUUACACCGGGAAUGCAAAGGCUGUUCAACGUAGCUAAUCAGUGUCCUAGACCACAUCCAGAAGAAACAUGAUCAUGUCAAUUGUUGUAGGAUAAGCUUUGACAAAAUCCAAACCUUUUCAUAACAAGUAUUCUCAAUAAAAUAGAAAUAGAAGAUUCAGUUGUGAUAAAGGAAAGGUCCCUGGGUGGCUCAGUGGGUUGAGUGUUCGACUCUUGGUUUGGGCUCAGGUCAUGAUCUCAAGAGUCUUCAGAUUGAGCUCCAGGGAGGGCUCUGCACUCAGUCGGGAGUCUGCUUGGAGAUUCUCUCCCUCUGCCCCUCCCCACUCUUGGGUUUGCAUGCUCUCAAAUAAAUAAAUAAAUAAAUAAAUAAUUCUUUAAAAAUUAUGAUAAAGGAUAUUUAUGAAAAAUAACUCAUAUGUAUAUCAUUCUCUGUGGUGAAAGACUGGGAGUUUUCUCCUUAAAAUCCCCAAAAAGUCAAGGAUGCCCAUGUCCACCACUUCAUUUCAAUAUUGUCAUGGAAGUUUGGUCAGAGAAAUUAUACAAGAUUAGUUACUAAAAGCUCACAAAUGGAAAGGAAGAAGAAAAAGGUUAUUUAUAUAUGACAUGAUCUUCUAUGCAAAUAAUCCUAAGAAUUUGAAAAACUCUGUAUGAGAUUAUAAUAUUUCCCGAAAGGUAUGAGCAGAGAAGGCCAACACAUAUGGAUCAAUGGAAUACUGCUGAGAAUCAAGGAAUACAUACAUGUACAGUCAGUUGUUUUCGAACACGGAGAGCAAGAUCAUUCAAUGAGGCAAAAACAGUGUCUCCAACAAACGGUGUUGAGAAACCGGAUAUCCACAUACGAAGGAGUGAAGUCAGAGCAUUCCCUUCCACCCUAUAAAAAAUGAACUCCACAUGGAUCCAAGAAUGAACUUUAAGAGCGAAAAUUCUUAACACUCAGAAGGAAACUAAGAGCACUUAGGGGCAGAUCUUCCUUCCCUUGGAUUUGGCAAUAUGGUGUCUCUUGUAUGGCACCCGAAGCCCAAGCAACAACAGAGAAAACAGAGACACUGGACUUUAACGUUGCUAAAAACUUUUGUGAACAAAAGGGUAAUCUCAAGAGAAUGUAAAGAAACCCAAAGAAUGGUAGGAAAUAUUUGCAAAUCUCAUACGAGUCUUGCAUCUAGAAUGUGUACAAAACUCCUCCAACUUAAGAACCUAAACAACCCCACUGAAAAUAAUAGACAUUUCUCCAAAGAAGAUAGUCAGACGACCCAGUGAGCACAUGGGGCGAUUUUCCUCAUGAGAUCGUAGGAAAUGCAAGCCAACACCACAGUGACAUGCCUUCCCCCACCCAGGAGGAGGGGCUAUAGUGAAUAAGCAGAAAUAACAAGUGUUGGAGAGGAUCUGGGGAAACAGAACCCUCCUCCAUUGCUGGGGGAGAUGUAAUAUGGCGGAACCACUGUGGCAAAGGGUGUGGCACGUCGUCCACACGUUGAGCAUACUGUUCUCAUUUGGCCGAACUCCACUCAUUCUCUAAACAGAAGAAUGGAAUACAGGCCCUCUAACAACAGCCUGCACGGAAGUAUUCGUAGCAACACUCUCGACAAUAAUCGAAAGAUGAAAACAACCCACAGGUGCAUCCACAGUUGAAUGGACAAACACAACGUGGUCUGUUCAUACAAUGGGAUUCAUUCAGCCACGCCAGGAAUGAAGUAGUGAUACACGCUAUCACGUGGGUGAACUUCGAAAACAUCCUACUCAGUGGAAGAAACUAGACCCCAAAUACCACAUACGGUUUGAUCCCACGUGUAUGAAAAAUUCGUCCCAGGUAAAUGACAGGUGCCAGAUCAGUGGUUGCCUGGGAGCAGGGGGAUGGGGAAUGACCAGUGACUGCCUGCUCAGAGGGUGCGGGGUUUCUCUCCAGGGCAUUAAAUGUUCUGGGAUUAGAUAGGGUGAUGUUGCCAGCACGGGAAAUGGAGUUGAUAACAGUGGUUUGCACACUUUGAAAUGUUUAAAAAGAUAAAGUUUAUUUUAUGUUAAGCUACAAAUAUACCUGGAAACAUGAAAAGAAACAAAAGCCAAAAGAGAAGAAAAGGAAUGCGUUCGCUGGUGAGGACAGGCCGACUCUGGUGCUGGAACUGGCCCUGGUUGUAGCUCAUCAGCUGCUCCGGGAGGUGGGGCCGGAGCUGGCUGUAACUGGUGCUGGAUUGGGUCUCGCUCCCACUGGCCCUAGCUCUGCAGGGGGAGCCAGCGCUGGCUCCAGGUCGGAGGUGCCGCCGGAGCUGACUGUGGAGCCGAUCCAGCUCAGAGUCUUGCCUUGGCUCUAGCUCUGCAGUCGGUGAUGGAGCCGUAGGUCCAGGGGCUUCCUCCCACUGGGGCGCACGUGGCUCCAGCUCCUGAGCUCCUGGCGAAGGCCCCGCACCAGGAGAUGGAAAUGCCUCGAGCUCUGCAGCGGGCUUUGGGUCUGUAGCUGCUUCUGCAGCCACGUCGACUCUGCAGCGGUGACCGGCCCCGGGGCAGAGGCCAGUUCUCCAUCUCGAGAUGGUGCCGAAGCAGCAGGAGGGGAGAAGGUCACCACCCUGCCAGGGUGAUCACCCUGUGCUGAUCCCCACAGCCCGUCCCUGUGCCUUGUCAGAGGAAACCGGCCUCCCCCAGCAGCGCUGAGCUGCCUCGAGACCUGGCUCUCGUUCUCGGGCUGCCUCUCACUCUGCCAGUGGUGCCGGAUCGGGUGGGAGAACUGGUGUGGAGGUGGCUCUGCUCUGGAAUUCACCCCGGAGCUGCUUUUGCCUCCGGAGGGGGACAGCGUGUCGGAGCUGGAGGGGCUCUAGUCUGCGGGGCCCUGGCUCAGGCUCUCGAGCUACUUCCACGGCUGGCUCGAGUCAGCGCUGGGGCACAUUCUGGUGCGUCAGAUGGUUCUAGAUCUUAGCUGCCCCACGGCUCGUGCAAGGUCUCGUGCUCGAGGUGCUCUAGCUCUGUACCGCCCACUUGCUGACCGUGGGUGAGAUGCUGACCCACCGGUUAGGCUGGGAGCUCCGAGGGCAGGGAGGGUGUCUGGGGGUCCCCUCUGCAUUCCAGCGAACAGACACAGGUGUGGAUGAUGCACGCGUGGAAGAAAGCGUGAACACAAGAGUCUGUGGCCCAGACCUCUCAUCUGUAACAACAUCCCCCGCAUCCCGGGUCUGCUGGGGGAUCCCACCGAUUCACUAAACUGUGAAGUACUACCACUUCCCAGGCACUGUUCUGGGGGUUGGGGACCCAGCGGUGAGGAAGCACGGUCCCUGGUCGCGUGGGGCUGGCCGGAGCAGAGGUCAAACGAGGACUUCAGGUCCCCGGCAAGUGUCUCUGCUCAGCUGGGGGCAGCUGCCGGGAGCAGCGGGUCAGGCCCUUGUCCCCGUCUGGCAGCUCAGGACCGACCCGCGUGGGGCGCGUGGUGAAGGCGAUGCAGGAUCCUUGGUCUGAAUCCCCCCGUAGCCAUUACCCCCAUGUAGCCGGUCCCGUCACCAUCCCGAGUUUUGCAUCCAUGAAGUGGGCAGGGGAGGAAAGCCGUUCGUGGGUUCAAGAGCCCUAUCCAAGUGCGGAACUGGGUCUAGAUCAUCUCUGGAGGGGGAUUCAGCUCCAGCACCUGCCCCAGAGCUCGAGCCAGGUCCUACACCGAUGCGUGCCGCAGCUCCCGAGACUGGGGCAGCUGCAGCUUCGGCUCUCGCGCCAGCUCUGGGAUCAGAGCCCAGUUUGGAGCUUGAGCAGCUCCAGCACCAGCUAUGGAACUCGCCAGCCAAGGGCCAGCACCUUCACCGUCACACCCUCGCCGUCGUGCACGAGGUCAGGAGAGGGGCUGGGGGCGGGAGGGUCCCUGCUGGGCAGGUCACCCCGGGUACCUUGGUCACUCUACUCAGAGCUCCCCCUCCCCACCCCUCCCACAGGUCACAGCCCCAGGGUUCCCCACCCCUGCUUCCCAAACAAGGCUCAAGGUGGACAAGCAGACCUGGGAUGUUGGAAGUUGAGGCUUGUAUCUUCAACACUGUAUACGUGUUGACCCAGAAACUCCACUUUAUGGAUUCUGUUGCAAAUAGAGGUUGAUGGACACGGUGUUCCCUUCCUUCAACAGGGUGGGAGUGAGCUGCCCACGCUAGGUGAUGGGUGCACCUGUGGCCUGGGAUGGGUGCUGCUCACUGUUCUCCCAGACAGGGGUGCCCGUCACCCUUCUCUCCCGGGGACCUCCGUUUCCUCACGUUCUCGCCAGGGCUGCUGGUCCCCAGACCAGAUACCUGCCAGUCUGAGGGUGACCAGUGCUGCCUCCAUAGGGUUUCCUUUGCCAGAGUCCUUCCCCGGGAGCUCCUGCAUCUCUGACUCCCCCCAUGCCUGUCCCCCUCCCCUUGGACUUGCAUGCAUUUCGUCUCUGUCCCUGUGGAACCCAGUGACUUGGAGCAUGGUUUGGACCAGAGGCAUGGGAAACCUUUCUGUGGCCUUGGGUUGUCAGCAAUGCUUUGGCCCUUUGGGGUGUGUCUUCCAGCUUUCUGCAUUUCCCUGGUUUCUCUGUGGGUCACAGGAGGAGCCAGCCCUUUCCUGUCUGGGGUCAGGCUGAGGUGUCCCAGCAGGAACAGGGGUCUCCGCCCCGAGAUUGUGUCCAUAUUUACCAAAGGGGGCUCUAUGGUUCCAUCUCAUCUGUAAUCCAUCGGGGAUUUCAACAUCAAAUAAGGGAAAUUCUAUGUCAAGUCAACCCAGAAAAGAAGGAGUCCCCUUUGAAAAUAGGGGGGCAGACACAAAGGCCCAUACUGUGUGAUUCCACGUACAGGAAACAUCCAGAACAGGUAAAGGAACAGAGAGAGGAAGCAGCUUAGGGGUUUCCAGGGAGGCCUUCUGGUUCGGGGACUCCUUUGGGGAAGCAGAUAUUUCACAGCCAUGUUCUGUGGUGUGGUGGCCCGGCGUUGGGAAUGUACUUGAUGCUCAGGACUUGUUCAACUGAAAACAAUUCAUUUUAUUUAAAAUGAAUAAUAAACAGCAUAUAGGACAUGGAAAGAGAAUAGAACAGUUAAUACGAACC